GUAGGUGGCAAGCGUUGUCCGGAAUUAUUGGGGCGUAAAGCGCGCGCAGGCGGUUCUUUAAGUCUGAUGUGAAAGCCCACGGGCUCAACCGUGGAGGGUCAUUGGAAACUGGAGAACUUGAGUACAGAAGAGGAAAGCGGAAUUCCACGUGUAGCGGUGAAAUGCGUAGAGAUGUGAAGGAACACCAGUGGCGAAGGCGGCUUUCUGGUCUGUAACUGACGCUGAGGCGCGAAAGCGUGGGGAGCAAACAGGAUUAGAUACCCUGGUAGUCCACGCCGUAAACGAUGAGUGCUAAGUGUUAGGGGGGUUUCCGCCCCUUAGUGCUGCAGCUAACGCAUUAAGCACUCCGCCUGGGGAGUACGGCCGCAAAGGCUG
rnacentral:rRNA from 1 species